rnacentral:lncRNA from 1 species
AAAAGAAACCAAAAUAUAAAACCACUUACCACCAUUCAAAAAAGUAAAUUAAUCAAAUGCACAACAAGCUAAUAUUUAUAACUUGAAUUUGAAUUUGAUUUUUUUUUUUUUAAUUUUAUAGUGUACUGACUGAGCCAAGGCGGGGUUCAGGCUUGGAAACAUUAAGUCCGGGCCUGGCCUGGCUCGGGCUCGGAAACAUUAAACCUAGGCCGAGACACAGAAAGUCAUUGUUUCGGAUCGAAGCUGGGAAGGUUUCAAGUGUUGCAGGACAAUGGGGGGGGUCAUGUCCUCUUCCAACCGAAAAAGUGGAAGGAGAAUCAUGUUCCUUCAAGUAAAGCAAAACAUAAAAUGAUGGGAAAAGGGGGGAAAGCUAAACACAUGUUUGAUUGAAUUGUGAUGAAUGAUAACAUGUUGGGUAUUUGAUUAGACUAAGCCACUUUAUGGGAGACAAGCCCACAUGAAAAUUUGAGACAGCAACACUUCUGAGUUGAGUGUUGUACUCGUCUUUCUUAGCUAACGCAUAAUUGUCCUUGCACUGAUGUUUACUCUUUGAUUGAUGGGUUAUUUUUCGUCGCCCCCCAGAAUGUUUCAGCAAAUUUUGCCACGCACCUAAUUAUUUUAACAACUACUAUCACAUACUCAUUCUGACAAAAUUACCAUUAACUUUAUUGGAUUCAGCACUCAUUUAAAUUAAACUCAAUAUAAUUACUAAAAUAACCUAAAUAACUCAAAAGAUCUUAGCCAAAAAAACAAAAGUAUUAUAAUAAAUAAAAUACAUUUCUAUUUUUGUACUAAAUUUGAUUAAAAUACAAUUAUAAUAAUACAGUAAAAAAAACAAAAUCAUUAUAUUUGACUAAAACAAACUCAAGCACAUUACUAUUAACAAAUAUAGAUUAUACUAAAAAAAAUUUUCUCACUUAGCUUUCUUUAACUAUCUUUGACCAUUCAAAUUUAUUCAUCAUAAGUUUUAUUUAACUAUUUUUACUUAUAACAUGGAAUGAACAAAUUGCCCCAAUAAUGUAUAUUCUUGUACUUAAUACUUUUAGGUAUUUAAUUUUAU